CCUACGGGAGGCAGCAGUGAGGAAUAUUGGUCAAUGGGCGCGAGCCUGACCCAGCCAAGUAGCGUGAAGGAUGACUGCCCUACGGGUUGUAAACUUCUUUUAUAAAGGAAUAAAGUGAGGCACGUGUGCCUUUUUGUAUGUACUUUAUGAAUAAGGCUCGGCUCACUCCGUUCCAGCAGCCGCGGUAAUACUGAGGAUCCGAUCGUGAUCCGGAUUUUUUGGGUUUAAAUGGAGCGUAGAUGGGUUGUUAAGUCAGUUGUGAAAGGUUGCGGCUUAACCGUAAAAUUUCAAUUGAUACUGGCAGUCUUGAGUACAGUUGAGGUAAGCGGAAUUCGUGGUGUAGCGGUGAAAUGCGUAGAUAUCACGAAGAACUCCGAUUGCGAAGGCAGCUUACUAAACUGCCACUGACAUUGAUGCUCGAAAGUGUGGGUAUCAAACAGGAUUAGAUACCCCUGUAGUC
rnacentral:rRNA from 1 species